rnacentral:rRNA from 1 species
AGAGUUUGAUCAUGGCUCAGAGUGAACGCUGGCGGCAGGCCUAAUACAUGCAAGUCGAACGGCAGCACAGCAGAGCUUGCUCUGUGGGUGGCGAGUGGCGGACGGGUGAGGAAUACGUGGGAAUCUGCCCAGUCGUGGGAGAUAACGUAGGGAAACUUACGCUAAUACCGCAUGCGCCCUUCGGGGGAAAGCCGGGGACCUUCGGGCCUGGCGCGAUUGGAUGAGCCCACGUCGGAUUAGCUAGUUGGCGGGGUAAAGGCCCACCAAGGCGACGAUCCGUAGCUGGUCUGAGAGGAUGAUCAGCCACACUGGAACUGAGACACGGUCCAGACUCCUACGGGAGGCAGCAGUAGGGAAUAUUGGACAAUGGGCGCAAGCCUGAUCCAGCCAUGCCGCGUGAGUGAAGAAGGCCCUCGGGUUGUAAAGCUCUUUUGUCCGGAAAGAAAAGCGCCGGGUUAAUACCCUGGUGUCCUGACGGUACCGGAAGAAUAAGCACCGGCUAACUUCGUG